GCGGGCGUGAUGAAAUUGGCAGACAUGCUGGCUUUAGGUGCCAGUGCUUGAAAGAGCGUGUGGGUUCGAGUCCCUCCGCCCGCACGA
rnacentral:tRNA from 1 species